GAUGAACGCUGGCGGCGUGCCUAACACAUGCAAGGUCGAACGGGGUUAAGUGAAAUUUUCGGAUGGAGCUUAACUUAGUGGCGGACGGGUGAGUAACGCGUGGAUAACCUGCCUCACACUGGGGGAUAGCAGCUGGAAACGGCUGGUAAUACCGCAUAAGACCACAGCACCGCAUGGUGCAGGGGUAAAAGAUUUAUCGGUGUGAGAUGGAUCCGCGUCUGAUUAGCCAGUUGGCGGGGUAACGGCCCACCAAAGCGACGAUCAGUAGCCGGCCUGAGAGGGUGAACGGCCACAUUGGGACUGAGACACGGCCCAAACUCCUACGGGAGGCAGCAGUGGGGAAUAUUGCACAAUGGGCGCAAGCCUGAUGCAGCAACGCCGCGUGAGUGAAGAAGUAUUUCGGUAUGUAAAGCUCUAUCGGCAGGGAAGAAAGGCCCGAAAGGGAGAUGACGGUACCUGACUAAGAAGCCCCGGCUAACUACGUG
rnacentral:rRNA from 1 species